UUACAGACAGGAAACCAGUCUCUCGGGCUGCUGAAUAGAAACCUACAAGUUUGAGAGGUGGGGCCUCAAAAUUGCUCCCUAAAUACAUAACUCUUUCCCCCUUAAUGUUAGCACAGUGUGAGAUGGAUGUCAAUGACCACCUCUUUGAGGGACUCUAACCACUGAUAUUUUUCCUUGUUAUGUUUCAGAAAACGUCAUCUGCUCUGCCCUUCAUGAGAUUGUAACCUCAUAAAGUAGCCUUGGCAGAGCUUUUCUGUUUUGUUUUGUUUUGUUUUCCCAUUCAGACAAGACGGUGAUGCCUGCAUAUCCGAGGAUCCGAGUGGAGGACGUAGCCGGGGAGAUGGCAAACAGACAUCUUUCAUUCUGCGACCCUGGGGCCUAACCAACGGGAAAUGCGUUUGGACUCUUGGAAAUGUAACAUUAAUUGUCACACAUCUGCUGGCAUAAGUGGGCAUUUAGAGGAAAGCUUUGUUUUUGUCCCCUGGGGGUUGAGAAGGAAAUCUGGUGACUGCUGUUGGGCCUGGCUAAAAGACAAGACAGUAGCGUGGGAAAAUCAUCAUGAGCUAAUAUCCAGGAAUCAUGAUUCAAUGCCGUAUUGUGUGCAUUAAUACUAAGGGGCUAGCCCAAUUUUAGAGUGCCCCUCAGGAGACAACCUCUCACUUCCACAAACACAGUUGCACCAAAAUGUAGCUUCUUUACUUUUUCUCGAGUCUGUUUAAUUUUGUUUUGAGUCUCAUUCUACAACAAGGGACAGAGGCAUUCUCAACCCUUUUUGGAUGGUUCCUACUUUACUGCGUCACAGACAACUUGCACUGGUGCCAAGGGGUAAGGAAGAGUUUUAAAUACAUGACCUAGCUUGGGGAUACAUGUUGACUUUGUGUGGCCUGGCACGUGGUGAACAUUUUGUUACUAUUCCAUGUGUGCUUGCGAAGAGUUUACCAGCCUGGGAUUCCACAUCCUGUAAAUUCAGAUAAAGGUUCUUAAGCUUGUGACUUGUGUUGAUCGAAUCUAAGCCUUUUCACCUUGUUCUUUGAGCAGUGGAGAGACGGUGAAACCACCCCUUCUGAGGGGGAGUGUGUCCAUUUCUCAUUGUCAUUCUCUCGAUUUCAGCGGUGUAUUUUACAGAGAGCUUGCCCAUCUGUGCAAGUAUAUAUACUACGUGUGCACAUGUGAAAAUAAAGAAAAAUUUACUGUA